CUACGGGGCGCUGCAGUAAGGAAUAUUGCGCAAUGGAGGCAACUCUGACGCAGCCAUGCCGCGUGCAGGAAGAAGGCCUUAUGGGUCGUAAACUGCUUUUAUUUAGGAAUAAACCCCCGAACGUGUUCGGGGCUGAAGGUACUAAACGAAUAAGCACCGGCUAACUCCGUGCCAGCAGCCGCGGUAACACGGAGGGUGCAAGCGUUAUCCGGAUUUAUUGGGUUUAAAGGGUGCGCAGGCGGGCUAUUAAGUCAGUGGUGAAAUCCCGGGGCUCAACUCCGGAACUGCCAUUGAUACUGAUAGUCUUGAGUUUGGUUGAAGUGGGCGGAAUGUAGCAUGUGGCGGUGAAAUGCAUAGAUAUGCUACAGAACACCAAUCGCGAAGGCAGCUCACUAAGCCAAAACUGACGCUCAUGCACGAAAGCGUGGGGAUCAAACAGGAUUAGAUACCCCAGUAGUC
rnacentral:rRNA from 1 species